rnacentral:rRNA from 1 species
UCGCUCCUACCGAUUGAGUGAUCCGGUGAAUAAUUUGGACUGCAACUAUGUUUGGUUCCUGAACAUUGUGGUGGGAAGUCUAAUGAACCUUAUCACUUAGAGGAAGGAG